rnacentral:rRNA from 1 species
CCUACGGGCGGCAGCAGUGGGGAAUAUUGCACAAUGGGCGAAAGCCUGAUGCAGCAACGCCGCGUGAAGGAAGACGGUUUUCGGAUUGGAAACUUCUAUCAAUAGGGAAGAAAGAAAUAACGGUACCUAAAUAAGAAGCCCCGGCUAACUACGGGCCAGCAGCCGCGGUAAUACGUAGGGGGCAAGCGUUAUCCGGAAUUACUGGGUGUAAAGGGAAAUUAGGCGGCAAGGUAAGCGAUAUGUGAAAGCCUUAGGCUUAACCAAAGGAUUGCAUAACGAACUAUCUAGCUAGAGUACAGGAGAGGAAAGCGGAAUUCCUAGUGUAGCGGUGAAAUGCGUAGAUAUUAGGAAGAACACCAGUGGCGAAGGCGGCUUUCUGGACUGAAUCUGACGCUGAGGCUCGAAAGCGUGGGGAGCGAACAGGAUUAGAUACCCGAGUAGUC